UGACGUUACCCGCAGAAUAAGCACCGGCUAACUCCGUGCCAGCAGCCGCGGUAAUACGUAGGGUGCAAGCGUUAAUCGGAAUUACUGGGCGUAAAGCGCGCGCAGGCGGUUCGCUAAGACAGAUGUGAAAUCCCCGGGCUCAACCUGGGAACUGCAUUUGAGACUGGCAGGCUAGAGUCUGGUAGAGGGGGGUAGAAUUCCACGUGUAGCAGUGAAAUGCGUAGAGAUGUGGAGGAAUACCGAUGGCGAAGGCGGCCCCCUGGACAAAUACUGACGCUCAUGCGCGAAAGCGUGGGGAGCAAACAGGAUUAGAUACCCUGGUAGUCCACGCCGUAAACGAUGUC
rnacentral:rRNA from 1 species